CUUAACCCCCGAAGGUGAGGGAAUUAGGAGAUGGGGCCUUUGGGAGGUGAUGAGGUCAUAAGAUGCAGCCCUCAUGAAAGUGACCCCACAGAGCCCCUCCAGCAUGUGAGGACACAGUGAGAAGGCUCCAGCUAUGAACCAGGAGAGGACCUUCACCAGAACGUGACCAUGUUGGCUUCUUGAUCUUGCACUUCCCAGCCUCCAGAACUGAGAGCACUUCUAGGAGAUGAAUUGACUUAAUCAGACUUCGCUGAUACCAAAGUCCUUGGCAUGACUUAAUGGCUCAUUGUGGAUUCCGGGAGAAGACCGAGUGCCUACAAAUGAAGGUAUUUGGAAGGCUUGUGUCCAACAGAAUGGAGCUAAGUGUUUCUGUGGGGCUGCACAAGAAUGUAAACUCUGGUAUGAAGGACUAACCAAGGUAUUGGAAUAAAGUUGAAGCCAUUUAUCUAAACCGUGAUCUUUAUACAGCUGACCAUAGAUCUUCUGCCCUAUGGGAGGGCAGGCUGGUGGACCUCUUGGACCCACCUCUUGGAAAGGUGUCGAUCCCAGGAGCACUCUCUAAUCACCUUCCUGCCCACUCAGCUCCAUCUCAGAAUCAGCUUCCAGGGGCACGCAUCCUGUGACGUAGAGGUGGUGAGCAGUGGUCAGGUUCUGAUUACAUUUUGAAGGUAGAACCAAAUGGAUUUGUUGAUGGAUUGGAUAGGGUGUUAAAAUGAAAAAAACUGGUGGUGAAGCAUCAAGAUUGUAUUUUUAACAAAUGGAAAGAUGGAAUCAUUAUGAACUGAUAUGAGAAAGACCAUGGGAAAGGCAGGGAUUUUUUUGAGGGCGGUGGUGGAAGUUAGGAAAUAUAUUAGAAAUAAAAAUGAAUUCUUAAUAUUCAUGCAGGUAAAAAGUCAACUUCCAUUUCCAGGAGCGCAUUCUUAACUUUGAAUACUCCCAAUGUUAUUCAGUUUUAGAUAUAAUCUGUUGUAGCAGACAUUUCAUUUAAUUGGAGGAACGUCAGAGUAAUUAAACAUAGGCAGUGUGAACACAUACGUUCAAUGAUUACCCGGUGGCUGCUAAUUCAUAGAGACACGAAUAGCGUUAGGUGGUUCUAGGUGGUUCUACAAGGGAACAAAGCCAGCCAUUGGCGCAUCCACCGGGAUAUAUAUCAAGAAGUGUUUUUUCUGCGAGACCCAUAGUAUCCAUCGUAUAGUAACGGGCUCCCAUGAGAAGCUGAAAAGAAGCAAAGCUGCUUACAGACUGCAUAUAUCACACAACCAGACAAUGAUCCCAAGGCAACCUAGAAGGGAUCACAAUGACAUGAGACCACCCCCUUUUAUAGGUACAGUUCUGAGAAAAUUCAUAGUAGAGAGAAAAUUCACUGUGGGGAACAGUAGUUAGGACGUGAAUCUUGAGCUGAGGCUUGAAAGAAGUGUAAAGUCAGUGGAGAGGCUGGGAAUGGGGUUUCUAGAGGAGGAAGGAAUGUGCGAGAAGUGAGGAUGGAUAAGACGGAUACUAGGAACAGUAGUGAUGAGUAGGCCUCCCAACAAAAUUACAUCGACUGGGUAAAGUGGGGCAAGUCAGCUGACUUUUAAAACCAGGCAAGGAGUUUGGAUUUUGCCUUUUAAAUUACCAAGGGAACAGAAGAAGUCUUCUCAAAAGCUUUAAGGUGCCAGUGUGCAUUGUGAAUCUCCAAAAUGGAAAUGUGCAGUAUUUACCAAACUUAACAUUGGAAGCUUUUUUUCUAUGACCACCUGUUAACAACUUUGGAAAGAUUUGUUCUACAGACAUGCUGAGGCAGAGGACACAAAACCUUGGAGUGCGCUGGGAAAAGUAGGGCUCAAAGGUACUGAAAAUAACCAAGAUUUUUAAAGGGCACGAACGGUAUCUUGGGUGGUGUACAAAUAGCAUCAAUUUAUUCUCAUCCUCACAAUUCAUCCUCCCUGUUAGCAGCA